UAACGAAUCUUCCGCAAUGGGCGAAAGCCUGACGGAGCAAUGCCGCGUGCGGGAUGAAGCGGCUUCGCCGUGUAAACCGCUGUCAGGAAGUAGAAACACUGAUCGCUUCCAAAGGAAGGGGCGACUAACUCUGUGCCAGCAGUCGCGGUAAUACAGAGGCCCCGAGCGUUAAUCGGAAUCACUGGGCUUAAAGGGUGCGCAGGCGGAUCGGAUAGUGUUUUGUGAAAUCCCUCGGCUCAACCGGGGAACAGCAGGGCAUACACCGAUCUUGAGACAGGUAGGGUCGAUGGAACCAUGGGUGGAGCGGUGAAAUGCGUAGAUAUCCGAUGGGAACGCCAAUGGCGAAGGCAGUCGACUGGGCCUGUUCUGACGCUCAGGCACGAAAGCGUGGGAGCAAACAGG
rnacentral:rRNA from 1 species